AACGAGCGCUGGCGGCAGGCUUAACGCAUGCAAGUCGAACGCCCCGCAAGGGGAGUGGCAGACGGGUGAGUAACGCGUGGGAACGUACCUUUCAGUUCGGAAUAACUCAGGGAAACUUGUGCUAAUACCGGAUACGCCCGUAAGGGGAAAGAUUUAUCGCUGAAAGAUCGGCCCGCGUUGGAUUAGCUAGUUGGUGGGGUAAUGGCCUACCAAGGCGACGAUCCAUAGCUGGUCUGAGAGGAUGAUAAGCCACACUGGGACUGAGACACGGCCCAGACUCCUACGGGAGGCAGCAGUGGGGAAUAUUGGACAAUGGGCGAAAGCCUGAUCCAGCCAUGCCGCGUGAGUGAUGAAGGCCCUAGGGUUGUAAAGCUCUUUCACCGAUGAAGAUAAUGACGGUAGUCGGAGAAGAAGCCCCGGCUAACUUCGUGCCAGCCGCCGCCGUAA
rnacentral:rRNA from 1 species